rnacentral:rRNA from 1 species
GACGAACGCUGGCGGCGUGCCUAAUACAUGCAAGUAGAACGCUGAAGGAGGAGCUUGCUCUUCUGGAUGAGUUGCGAACGGGUGAGUAACGCGUAGGUAACCUGCCUGGUAGCGGGGGAUAACUAUUGGAAACGAUAGCUAAUACCGCAUAAGAGUAGAUGUUGCAUGACAUUUGCUUAAAAGUUGCAAUUGCAUCACUACCAGAUGGACCUGCGUUGUAUUAGCUAGUUGGUGGGGUAACGGCUCACCAAGGCGACGAUACAUAGCCGACCUGAGAGGGUGAUCGGCCAGACUGGGACUGAGACACGGCCCAGACUCCUACGGGAGGCAGCAGUAGGGAAUCUUCGGCAAUGGACGGAAGUCUGACCGAGCAACGCCGCGUGAGUGAAGAAGGGUUUCGGAUCGUAAAGCUCUGUUGUAAGAGAAGAACGAGUGUGAGAGUGGAAAGUUCACACUGUGACGGUAUCUUACCAGAAAGGGACGGCUAACUACGUG